UACGUAGGGGGCAAGCGUUGUCCGGAUUUAUUGGGCGUAAAGAGCGUGUAGGCGGCCAUGCAGGUCAGCUGUGAAAACUCGAGGCUCAACCUCGAGACGUCGGUUGAAACCGUAUGGCUAGAGUCCGGAAGAGGAGAGUGGAAUUCCCGGUGUAGCGGUGAAAUGCGUAGAGAUCCGGAGGAACACCAGCGGCGAAGGCGGCAUCCUGGACUGGUCCUGACACUCAGGAGCGAAAGCGUGGGGAGCGAUCCGG
rnacentral:rRNA from 1 species